rnacentral:rRNA from 1 species
UACGAAGGGGGCUAGCGUUGCUCGGAAUUACUGGGCGUAAAGGGAGCGUAGGCGGGGCGUCAAGUUGGGGGUGAAAGCCCAGGGCUCAACCUUGGAAUUGCCUUCAAAACUGACGAUCUAGAGUAUGGAAGAGGUAAGUGGAACUCCGAGUGUAGAGGUGAAAUUCGUAGAUAUUCGGAAGAACACCAGUGGCGAAGGCGACUUACUGGUCCAUGACUGACGCUGUGGCGCGAAAGCUAGGGGAGCAAACGGG